CCCCUUUUUCAUUACAUUUUAGCUUAAUUUCUUUGGCUCCUGUAUGUUUACUGCUCCAUGUUGUAAUUCAACUGAGACAUUGGUCUUAACUCUUAACUGAUAAAUCCAAGUACAGUUUUUUGUAAUUCCUUGUGCAGACUCUAGGGUAUGCCCCUCUAACAUAUCAGGAUUCCAACCUGGAGAAGUAUUCAUGAUACGUAACAUCGCCAAUCUUGUACCUGUGAUGAAGAAUGGAUCAUUAGAGUGUAAUGUUGCUCUUGAGUUUGCAGUAACUACUCUUGAGGUGAAUAAGGUGCUUCAGUUGGGCUGGUCUGCUUCAAAUUUUUAUUUUGGGGUCAGAUGUUAAUUCUUCAGGUAUCAUCUUUGUAACAUGCCAUAAAUUUAUAAUGCAUGUUUUUGCAAUUUAC